rnacentral:tRNA from 1 species
AUUUAUUUAGUAUAAAUAGUACAAUUGACUUCCAAUCAUUUAGUUUGAUUACUCAAAAUAAAUA